rnacentral:rRNA from 1 species
UACGUAGGGGGCAAGCGUUGUCCGGAAUCAUUGGGCGUAAAGCGCGCGUAGGCGGCCCUGUAAGUCCGUUGUGAAAGUCAAAGGCUCAACCUUUGAAAGCCGAUGGAUACUGCAGGGCUAGAGUCCGGAAGAGGCGAGUGGAAUUCCUGGUGUAGCGGUGGAAUGCGCAGAUAUCAGGAGGAACACCGGUGGCGAAGGCGGUGGUCUGGGCCGGCACUGACGCUGAGGUGCGAAAGCGUGGGGAGCAAACAGG